CAUCUGUCUGGUCUGCUCCUCCCUAUGGGAGGACUGCAGAUACAACUCUUCUAGUCCUUUAGCAUCCAAAGUAGCAGUUUCGAUAAGCAGAGCAUAGUGUCUUGGUGAUGGUCACCUGCUGUCCUUGCCAGUAGUCCUAGACCUCUUCUGGGACACCAGGAAGAAACAGAAGCAGCUGAUGCCUCUGCUGGGUACCUCAAAUCUUUGGUUGGGUCUGGGACAGUUUUUCAACCCUCCUGUGAAGUUGACACUGGUCUGAACACGUGACCAGGGUGAACAUACCUGACAUAGUGGUAGGAUUAGACGUUUGUGGCAUGGCUCCUCGAUUGCUGCAAAGGACUUUACAGGCCCUGAGAUGUCUACAUGCUCUGCCCUCACUCACAUCAGCAGAGUACCUCCUAAACACAGAGGUGCCAUGCAAGUCAGUAAGGGUGAUGUGUCCAUUGGCUAGACAUCUCCACGUGCUGCCUGUGGGCAUGGGAUACAGGGUCUUUGCUGCCCUCUAAGGAGAAAAGCCCAGAACAGCAUAUGUCUCCUCCAUCCACACGUCCAAGCAAUGUUUCUUUCCCUUGUAGUUUGUGUUCUUGUGCCCAUUUGGCUUCAGCUGUCCUGAUUUGCACCUACCUGAAGACCAGCACUACACAAUCUACUUAACACUGUGGAGAAGAGCCAUGGGGAAAGAAAAGGGGCCUCCUCUAUCUGUAAAGAAGUAGACAAUAUGAGACCAGCUAGGGGCCAGGGCUUGCUGUUUAUCCUGAAUUCUGUUUUUAUCAGAAUUCUCUUUAUCUUGUGCUGGAUGUGUGAUCAGUUACAUCCUGGGAACACAAGGACUGUGUGUAUAUGCCAAGGAGCAGGUGACUGACUACUUGCUCUCAGUUCCGACUGUAAAAGUAUAUAAGGGAGCAUUUUUCCCAAAAUAAACCAUUCCAUUGGUUCUCA